rnacentral:lncRNA from 1 species
UUGUUCUAUUCAUCAUGACCUCAUAGAGCCUUUUCUUUUUCUCAGGUCUCAUUUACUUCCUCUUUUUUUUUUCCUUUUCCUUUUCCUAUACCUUCCUUUGGUCCUUAUAAGUAUCCAAAUUGCCCUAAAAUAACUUCUGCACAUGCAGCAUUAGGAAGCAGUGUUUCCCAACCACUACAUUUGAAUGAUUCAUUCCUCUGAGGACCCUCAAGUACUUCAGAAGAACUAAAAAAUGAAUAUCACGUUACACCAAAGAAGAAAUGAAAGCUGCCAGUGUCUUCUGAAGUUAAACAGGCUCCUGUUCUUUGACCCAGCAAUCCAAUCCUAGGUAUUUAAUUGUUCCCUGAGGUUUAAGGCAGUGGACUGAGGAUAAUACAGGCUCCAGCUUUCAUUAGUUCAAUGGAUGAUGCUGUUCAAUCCAUACUGUUUGGGGCAUUUGUUGAAAAUGUCAUUCAGAAGAUAUCAACACUUUCUGAGUCAUGGUUUGAUUGAAUUUAUAGAAUUAUGUGAUAGAAACCACAUUCUUCACAAAAGUCACAAGGCAAUAAUGACGACAAGGGUUGAAGAUGAAAGAUGCCAAAUAUUCUGAUCAAUUCAAUAAGGCAAAAAGACAAGUUAAUUCACUCAGUGCUCCAGGCAUCAACUUCAUAGAAGGAAUGGAAAUUCUACCUGUUUCCUAAAGAACUACAGAGGACUCCAACUAAGCCACUAUGCUGGGAGCAGAGAUGGGGAAGAAUUGCUGAGUCAUGAUAAGAGAAGGCACUAUAGGAAGAAACAGUGAACUCUUAACAGCUGGGCAAGCAAUGAGUCAGCCUGGGUGGUCACUCCAGAUGCUCCCGGACACAUCCCAAUUUCUAGGAUGCCUUGCUAAUCUGGGAGGGCUUUCCACACGCCCACCUGAAGACCAUGUGUGACCACGCCCCCAGAGGAGCAUGCCUUCUCCCACUCCCCAAUCCCAUUGCUUAUGACUUCAUUCACAUUUAGAGCGUGGACAGUGAAUCCCCAAUGUCAUUUACACAGUGUUGUUCUUGUCAUGGUCUAAACCAGCUUACCCCACUGCCACAUUUAUCCAUCAGCCUAUGGGAAAAGGGAAAAAGGAUGUGGAAGUGAAGUGAUCUUUAAAAGCCAAGGAAAGGAAGACAGGAAAAAUGAAGAUAAAUCCCAAAAGAUCAAUAUUUACUUUUAGUCUGCAUUUAAGUGUGCAUCGUUGAGAGAAUCCACGGCAACUUUUAUUAAAGAUAGAAGUUGUACUUGCCAACACAUCAACAAUUUAUGUUUAGAAACAAGAUACUCAAUCUCAAGUUAUCUUCCCUCUUGCCAUGUUUGUGGACAUCCCCCCACUGCCCUUCAUCCUCAGAAAGGAACAGCCUCCUGUGGGUUGACUUGGUGAUAUCUGUCCAUAGAUAAUGUCUCCAGCCCCAGGCUCAUCACUCAGACAUCUGCCCUCAGGAGGACACGUUCAUCCCCAGCACCAGAGACAUGUCUGCCAAGGCUUUUGGAACUGAUUUUAUCCCCAUGCAAAAAGCUAGAUUCUAAUUCUGUCUGAUCACAAAAGGUUGAAUCAAAGCCCUACAACUGAGGUUCAUAGACCAAAACAAGAAAUACAUGGAAAAGUUGCCAAAGGAUUUUAGAAGAUCAGAGGCUGUAAUUCAUUAUAGAUGUGGAUCCUUUUGCUUUCCUCUAAGGAAAAAAAAUAUUCAAUUUUAUUAAGAAAAAAUUCCCACUAACUGUGGCCAUGUUCAAAGCACUCACAGAAAAUAUUUUGAACGCACAGGGUUUCGCUCAAGGAAGAAUAUUCAUCAUUUCAGGGUGGGGGAAAGGAGCUGGUCAUUCAUUUUCUCUCACCUUAUCCUAACAUUUAUAGUUAAAAAGGGAUGGAUUUGUCUUUGCCUAAUCUCCAUGACAAAGCAAUUCUUGCCUGACCUCUCAAAUUCUCCCCACUCCAGAGAUUGUAUGACCAGAAGGUGGGAUCAUAAAUUCCCAAGAGAUGACAAAGGUGAAAAUGGAAUCAACAAUCACUACCUAAAUUUUCAGGCUCUGAGACACCUUCCUAAACUAUAUGAAUAAGCCACAGCAAAAUGCUUAAAUCUCUCCAGCUAUUUUUUCUUUCAUUGAUAAGUUAUAUUUCUUUUUGAAGGAAAGAAAGUAUCUACCUCAGCUCUUAUUUGUUAAAACUUACAUAACAAAGACACUACAGGUGAAAACACAGCCACCAUCACUCUAUAUUAUUUUCUAAAAUGAUUUAUAACAUAACAUUCAGCAUAGAUAACAGUAAAAGUUUAAAGAGGAUCAUGAAAUACAAAAUAAAUCCAAUUUAAUAAAGUGAAAACAAAAUCAUUGUUCUUUUGUAAAUGUUGAUCACAAAGCUUAAAAAAUGUACUUGAAAUGAAAAGCUUC